UGAGUAACCUGCCCUUCACUCUGGGAUAACUCCGGGGAAACCGGGGCUAAUACUGGAUAUGACUCGAACAGGCAUCUGUUUCGGGUGGAAAGAUUUAUUGGUGGAGGAUGGACUCGCGGCCUAUCAGCUUGUUGGUGAGGUAAUGGCUCACCAAGGCGACGACGGGUAGCCGGCUGAGAGGGCAUCGGCCACACUGGGACUGAGACACGGCCCAGACCUCCGUACGGGGAGCA
rnacentral:rRNA from 1 species